rnacentral:rRNA from 1 species
GAUGAACGCUAGCUACAGGCUUAACACAUGCAAGUCGAGGGGAAACGGCAUUGAGUGCUUGCACUCUUUGGACGUCGACCGGCGCACGGGUGAGUAACGCGUAUCCAACCUUCCCAUUACUGUGGGAUAACCUGCCGAAAGGCAGACUAAUACCGCAUAGUCUUCGAUGACGGCAUCAGAUUUGAAGUAAAGAUUUAUCGGUAAUGGAUGGGGAUGCGUCUGAUUAGCUUGUUGGCGGGGUAACGGCCCACCAAGGCGACGAUCAGUAGGGGUUCUGAGAGGAAGGUCCCCCACAUUGGAACUGAGACACGGUCCAAACUCCUACGGGAGGCAGCAGUGAGGAAUAUUGAUCAAUGGACGGAAGUCUGAACCAGCCAAGUAGCGUGCAGGAUGACGGCCCUAUGGGUUGUAAACUGCUUUUGUAUGGGGAUAAAGUUAGGGACGUGUCCCUAUUUGCAGGUACCAUACGAAUAAGGACCGGCUAAUUCCGUG